rnacentral:lncRNA from 1 species
CCGUGUAGCCAGUGGGAACAAGGACUCACUUGGACCACUGCCGCACCAGAACUCUUCCUCAGAUUUUAAGAUUCAGUAUCGUUGCAUUCUUGCCCUCAUUCAUCUGCUCAUGAAAAACAAAGCCAAUUAUUUCAAAGACAAGCCUCAGGACCCGGCUCAGCCUGUUUUUCCCUUUGACUGACUUAGGUGUAUUUUCAGUUGCAAGUAAUAAAAAACCAACUUUUAAAUGGAUU